GCCUGAGUGGCUUAAUCAGUUAAGUGUCCGACUUCAGCUCGGGUCAUGAUCUUACAGCUUAUGGGUUCGAGCCCCAUGUCGGGCU
rnacentral:tRNA from 1 species